rnacentral:rRNA from 1 species
UACGUAGGCAGCGAGCGUUGUUCGGAGUUACUGGGCGUAAAGAGCUCGUAGGCGGUUUGUCACGUCUGCUGUGAAAACUGGAGGCUCAACCUCCAGCCUGCAGUGGGUACGGGCAGACUAGAGUGCGGUAGGGGAGAUUGGAAUUCCAGGUGUAGCGGUGAAAUGCGUAGAUAUCUGGAGGAACACCGGUGGCGAAGGCGGCAUCCUGGACCGACACUGACGCUGAGGCGCGAAAGCUAGGGUAGCAAACGGG